GAUGAACGCUGGCGGCGUGCCUAAUACAUGCAAGUCGAGCGAACGGACGAGAAGCUUGCUUCUCUGAUGUUAGCGGCGGACGGGUGAGUAACACGUGGAUAACCUACCUAUAAGACUGGGAUAACUUCGGGAAACCGGAGCUAAUACCGGAUGAUAUUUUGAACCGCAUGGUUCAAAAGUGAAAGACGGUCUUGCUGUCACUUAUAGAUGGAUCCGCGCUGCAUUAGCUAGUUGGUAAGGUAACGGCUUACCAAGGCAACGAUGCAUAGCCGACCUGAGAGGGUGAUCGGCCACACGGGAACGGAGACACGGUCCAGACUCCUACGGGAGGCAGCAGUAGGGAAUCUUCCGCAAUGGGCGAAAGCCUGACGGAGCAACGCCGCGUGAGUGAUGAAGGUCUUCGGAUCGUAAAACUCUGUUAUUAGGGAAGAACAUAUGUGUAAGUAACUGUGCACAUCUUGACGGUACCUAAUCAGAAAGCCACGGCUAACUACGUG
rnacentral:rRNA from 1 species